rnacentral:rRNA from 1 species
GAUGAACGCUGGCGGCGUGCCUAAUACAUGCAAGUCGAGCGAACAGACGAGGAGCUUGCUCCUCUGACGUUAGCGGCGGACGGGUGAGUAACACGUGGAUAACCUACCUAUAAGACUGGGAUAACUUCGGGAAACCGGAGCUAAUACCGGAUAAUAUAUUGAACCGCAUGGUUCAAUAGUGAAAGACGGUUUUGCUGUCACUUAUAGAUGGAUCCGCGCCGCAUUAGCUAGUUGGUAAGGUAACGGCUUACCAAGGCGACGAUGCGUAGCCGACCUGAGGGGGUGAUCGGCCACACUGGAACUGAGACACGGUCCAGACUCCUACGGGAGGCAGCAGUAGGGAAUCUUCCGCAAUGGGCGAAAGCUUGCCGGAGCAACGCCGCGUGAGUGAUGAAGUUCUUCGGAUCGUAAACCUCUGUUAUUAGGGAAGAACAAAUGUGUAAGUAACUAUGCACGUCUUGACGGUACCUAAUCAGAAAGCCACGGCUAACUACGUG